GAUGAACGCUGGCGGUAUGCUUAACACAUGCAAGUCGAACGGUCUCUUCGGAGAUAGUGGCGGACGGGUGAGUAACGCGUGAGAAUCUGGCUCUAGGUCUGGGACAACCACUGGAAACGGUGGCUAAUACCGGGUGUGCCGAAAGGUGAAAGGUUAACUGCCUGGAGAUGAGCUCGCGUCUGAUUAGCUAGUUGGUAAGGUAAAAGCUUACCAAGGCGACGAUCAGUAGCUGGUCUGAGAGGACGAUCAGCCACACUGGGACUGAGACAC
rnacentral:rRNA from 6 species